rnacentral:rRNA from 1 species
UACGGGGGGAGCAAGCGUUGUCCGGAAUUAUUGGGCGUAAAGAGCUCGUAGGCGGUUUGUCGCGUCGAAUGUGAAAACCCGGGGCUCGACCCCGGGCCUGCAUUCGAUACGGGCAGACUAGAGUUCGGUAGGGGAGUCUGGAAUUCCUGGUGUAGCGGUGAAAUGCGCAGAUAUCAGGAGGAACACCGGUGGCGAAGGCGGGACUCUGGGCCGAUACUGACGCUGAGGAGCGAAAGCGUGGGGAGCAAACAGG